rnacentral:lncRNA from 1 species
GAAAUGGAUUCUCUAAAGUCUAACAUGACCAGACUUUUUUAGACUUGCCUCAUGAUUGCAAAUCAUCAGGUUGUAAAUGGAUCUUGAAAAUGAAACUAAAACCUGAUGGAAUUGUUGAUAAAUACAAGGCAGCCUUGUAGUCAAAAGUUUUAGACAAAGAAAAAAUAUAGAUUUAUUCACUUUUUCACCAAUCACUAGAAUAACAUCCAUUAGGGUACUUAUAUCACUUGCGACUAUUUAUAAUUUGGUGAUACACCAGAUGGAUGUUAAAACAACCUUUUUAAAUGGUGACUUGAAAGAAGAAAUCUUAACCUUUUUAAAUGGUGACUUGAAAGAAGAAAUCUUAACCUUUUUAAAUGGUGACUUGAAAGAAGAAAUCUUAACCUUUUUAAAUGGUGACUUGAAAGAAGAAAUCUUAACCUUUUUAAAUGGUGACUUGAAAGAAGAAAUCUUAACCUUUUUAAAUGGUGACUUGAAAAAAGAAAUCUAUUUGGAACAACCUGAAGGUUUUGUAAUUCAAGGACAAGAAUACAAGGUCUGUAAGUUAGAUAAAUCUUUGUAUGGUCUUAAACAAACUCUUAAGAAAUGGCAUGAAAAGUUUGAUAACUUUAUUAUAUCAAAUGAGUUUAAAGUGAAUGAAAGUGACAAAUGUAUUUACUAUAAAUUUGAAAAUGACUUUUGUACUAUCAUAUGUCUCUAUGUAGACAACUUACUCAUAUUUGAUUCAAUUAUUCAUGCUGUAAAUAUUAUGAAAUCAUUGUUGUGUAACAACUUUGAUAUGAAAUAUCUCGGAGAAGCGAAUGUAAUCCUAGAAAUCAAGAUUACUAGUUCAGAAAAUGGAAUUUCUUUGGAUCAAUCUCACUAUGUUGAAACAAUCCUAAAGAAAUAUAAAUAUUUUGAUUGUAAACCUGCUUGCACACCAUAUGAUCUAAGUGUGAAACUUUUCAAUUACACUGGUGAAGGUGUUAGACAAACUGAAUAUGCGAGCAUGAUUGGCAGCCUCAUGUAUGCCACUAAUUGUACUAGAUCCGACAUUUCCUACGCCGUGGGACUGUUGUGCAGGUUUACCAAUAGACCUAGUAUGGAGCAUUGACACGCUAUUGAAAGAGUCAUGUGAUACCUAAAAAGGACAAUGAUUCUCGGAUUACAUUAUCAAAGAUUUUCUACAGUCCUUGAAGGAUACAAUGAUGUUGAUUGGAAUAUCUUAUCAAAUGAUUCCAAAGCAACCACUAUAUUUUGG